UGUCCCACCUCCAUCACUUUGUAGGAGCAGCUGCACAAACCCUUCGUUGCCAUAGUAAAGACUUUCCCUAUUCUGUGAUUUCAUUCAGACAUACAGCAAAGAUCCAGGAAUGCCAACCGCCUAGAGUUCCUUGGAGAAUCUGGACUUUACACCUCACCUUUACACCUCUUGCUGACUGCAAGGACAACUGAGAAGAUACAAUGGUUUUCUCAUGCCUUUGUAAGCCAAUUCAGCUUGGUAAACCUGAAGAAGCCUGCUCCUUUUAGGUCUUUCUUCCAGUGUUAUAAUCCGAAAGGAAAAUGGGCAGAAGAUGAAAGUAUGCACAUGACUGCCUGCUUAAACUGACUUGGCUUCUCCUGCUAGAGGUGACAAAGAGGCAGAUUUGGUACUGUACAAGCUGCCACAGAACGCCCAUGCACUUUCAAAGGUAAUGGGAAGAAUUACUUUCCUUCUCAUGUCUCUCUCUUAUUAACAGUUUAUUCAGCAUGU